rnacentral:lncRNA from 10 species
CGGCAGGCUGCUGGGCAGGGGAGGUGGGAAAAGUAAACCAGUGUGCAGUCGGGGAGUGGGAUGAUAUAGACUAUUGUGUUCAGACCUCACCUGUGCCCACUGUCUCCUCUUGUGGCAGGGCAGGGCACUAAAGGAACAACAGGCAGAAUGCUGCUUUUCUAGUGUUCAGAAUGGCUAGUUCAGGUUUACUUUUCUGGCUUAGUUUGGACAAGCUCCUGUUAAUCAAGCUGUGGGAUGGAACUUCCGGGGACAGCAAAAGUUUCCUGAGUUUUCAGUCCUGUCCCUGCUCGCCUGUUCCCUUUCCCAUACACACACACCCGGGAGUGUGAAGGAGCAAGUGCCGACAGCUACAACCGCGAUUCAGAGGUUCUUGAAAGGGUUGCUGUUGUUUCUGGACAGUCAUCCUGGGCGGCUGUCCCCAGGCCAGCGAGGCCGACUGCUUAGCCUGCAGCCUGGGCCGCACUCCUGAGACACUCUGCCCCCAUCUGACUGGCCACGUGCCCUCUCGCUCCUCAGUGGCAAAGGAGGAAGAGGCAGUGAGAUGGCAAAUAGGCAAGGCCACCAUCAGUCAUUGUCGUCACUGUCACCAUCGUCUUGCAGAUCAGCCACAAUCCUGCCUGCACAGAACAGGUGAUCUUCCUCCUGCUCCCUCUUCCAUUUGGAAUACUGCCGUCACCACCUGUGCAGUCUCUCCGACCAGAAACCUCAGUGUCAUCCUGAUUCAUCCCCUCCCUCAGCCUCCUCAUCGAAUGAGUCACAGAGAGAUUUUACUGGAAGAUAAUUCCCAGCAUGUGCUUGCUGAGUCCUCUCAGACUUGUUUCUGAAAUCUGACUUCCUACCCUUCACUCCAUUGCCCCUCUCUGUUCAGCUCCUCACCUUUCCCUUGAGCUACUGCACCAGUCCAGCCACCCUCUCCCUUCCACCAACCUCUCCCCUUGCGUGGGCCUCAGUGUGUCCUGCUGAAAUACGCACAUUGACAUCCUAACCCCCAAGGUGAUGGUGUUAGGAGAUGGGGCCCUUGGGAGGUGAUUAGGUCAGAAGGGCAGAGCCCUCAUGAAUGCGAUCGGUGCCUUUAUAGAAGAGUCCUCAGAAAGCUGCCUUGCCCUUUCCACCAUGUGAGGGCACAAUGAGAAGGCACUGUCUAUGACAACCAAGAAGUGUGUCCUCACCAGACACCAAAUCUUUCUUUGUUUUCUUGAGACAGAGUCUUGCUCAGUCACCCAGGCUGAAGUGCAAUGGUGCUAUCUUGGCUCACUGCAACCUCCGCCUCCCAGGUUCAAGUGAUUCUCCCACCUCAGCUUCCCAAGUAACUGGGAUUACAGGCACCCACUACCAGGCCCGUGUAAUUUUUGUAUUUUUUUGUAGAGAUGGGGUUUCACCAUGUUCUCUAGUUUGGUCUUGAACUCCUGACCUGAAGUAAUUCAUGCACCUUGGCCUCCCAAAAUGCUGGGAUUAUAGGCGUGAGCCACCGCGCCCAGCCACCAAUCUAUUGGUGCCUUGAUCUUGAACAGCCCAGUCUCCAGAACUAAAUUUCUGUUGUUUAUAAGCUACCUAGCUUAUAGUAGAGUUGACUCUUGAAUGACAUGGGUUUGAACUGCCUGGGUCCACUGAUAUGUAGAUUUUUUUCAAUAAAUUUAUUGAAAAA